UUCAGCUCCGUAAAUAUUAUAGAUAAGGUGGAGCCGUACGUUAACUCAGACCAUUAAGAAAUCCUGUAUACGCCGCUGUAAUACAUUUUGAACUUUAUCCAAUAAGUUUUGCUUCAAGUCUCUAGCCUACGUGUAGCCGCUGACUCGGUUUCAUGCGCGCGUCGCAAAGAUACGUGGGAAGAAGAGGGGAAGGUGAUGCGAGCGUGGCCGGCAGAAAGAACCAGCGAGUCGAUGCGUUUUUCUGCUGUUUCUAUUCUUCUCGUACUAUUAUGAAUGAUGAACUGGAUUAUUCGGGACGAUGUAUCUGCAUUAUACAAAGGUUCUUUGAAGGAAGAAGCAUAUCCCAACUUGAAGUAGUGGAUGGCGUUGCGGAGCAGGCCCAACAAAAAUGAAAUUUAAUUGUCCUCGAUGACGUCACAAAUCACGUGACCAUAUUUUUGCACCCUCCUUGACAGAAGCAUUACACCUGCCAAGUUUGGUUGUGAAACAAUGUUUCUUUCAAGAGAUAUGAAUGAUUUUGCUUUUAAUCACGUUUUUUGCAUUAAGUUAGGUCAUCCAUGACGUAAUACAACACACUACAUGUGACCAUAUUGUUGCAUCCCUUGACACCUACACGACACCUACCGUGUUCGGAUGCCAUAUGAUCUUUCCUUGGUGAAAUAUAAAUAUUUUUUAUUUUGAUGACGUCAGCAUAUUUUUUUUGCUUCUAGUGUCGUCAUCGAUGACGUCACCUAUCACGUUACCACAGUUUUGCACUUCACUUGAUGCAUACAUGACACCUGCCAAGCUUGAUUGUCAUACUGUUUGCUAAACUUUACCCUCGGUUUGAAACGCCAACAAUUUCCCAAAAUCAGGAGGGCAAAAAUGCAAAGAGAUAUUCUUUGGUAAUGGUUUAUUUUGAAGCGUCUAUUUGACAAGAGUCAUUUUUACAAAAGAAGUUCUUUUGGUCACGAUGUGGCACAGGUUUUGUACUCAAACAAAAUGGCUAUAAUUCUACCAUCCCAACGAUAGAAUAUCGUAUUGAUUAAUCACUUGACACUAAAGAAAAUAACAGAAAAAAGAGUUACCCAAAUAACCAGCCCAUGUUUUUUUUUUUUUUUUGGUACAAGAAUGGGGUCAAAUACUUCAACAGUAUGAUUUGACGUGGGAGUCACUUUUGGCAAGCGCAAAAUGUUUUUUUUUCGCAGGCUAGAGGAUAACUAAGGCAAAUACCAGAAAAAAAGUUAGGGAGAGGGAGCUUAUCAGUAGUCAGAUUGCAUCUACAUGCGUACUGUAUGUUAUCUUGGCGGCAAAACAUUUCAUCUUUUUGUGUAAGCUCAAGUCGCAAAUUCCUAAUUUCUCAAAUUUUAAGAGUAAAUUGAUCCAAACAAAAAUAAUAAAUAAUAAAUAUAUUAUUGCAAGAGAUAGGAAUUCCACAAUAGUUCAUUUAAACAAAUGGGAAAAGCUUAUUCCGUUAUUAACAUAAUACUUUUUUAAUGCAUUAAUUAAAUUAAUUCCGUAACUUCACUAUGUAGCUACACUAAAUUUUAUUUUUAUUUUUUAUGUAAUUGUUUUUUUGUAGACAUUGUAACACUAUUAAUAAUGAAAAAUAAUAAAAGUACUGUAUGUGGUGAGCAGGGGAUUAAUUUAUAAAAAGAAAGGCAUGAACACCAGGCAGAUGAUAAGAUAAUUUCUACAGUUGACGACCUCCUUCGUAGUGACGGGGCUUUUGCGCAGCCCUUUUUCGUACUGCUGCAAGGCCAGGUCUAUUCGGGCGGUACACUUCUUGGCAGGCACAGAAUUGAGGAAUUCCUUGACCUGUGACAUGUCCAGGACGUUUUCGCAAUCUUCCAGGUGAUGCACCCCACGCUCCCAUUUUUUUAUACUUCCUAAGGCAUGUCUUCCAGGCAGGGAGGACGGCCUGGAGGCGCUUGGAGCCAGCCGCUCAGCCCUUGAAGGGCACGCCUCGGAGCUUUUAAGGAUGUACCCCAGGAAUUGCUGUAGGGCAUCGCAGUAUCCCUGCAGGGUUGUGGCCUUGAGAUGGUCGGGGCCCUUCUCGUCUUGGAAGGAAAAAGCGGCCCCAGACCCUAUUUAUAUCCACAAAGGCGUCCAGGAGGUAGCUGCCGGAUGGCGCCUUGGCGUUUGUGAUAGAUUGAACCUUAGCGGCUAUCUCUGGCCAUGGCUUGCUUAAGUUCUCCGCCAUGUUGGCGCUGGAGAAAUAGCGCAAACUCGGCGAGUGUGAGCAGUUCCAGCUGCUGGUUGUCAGCAUCGAUUGACUGAUAAG